CUGAAAACACUUCAACUCUUUUUUUACAUGUACUUUUCUCGCAGAGUCCCUUAACCAGAUCCUUUCGUAGCCAAGCUAACCAUAAACAAAUAUUUAGCAUCAUAAAGGAGAUGAUAUUCAUGGAAAGAUGAAAACCGUGGGUUUUUUAUGCAUCCGUUGUCGAUGAUGGAAUUUUUUCCUCUCAAUUCUAGAAGGUUUAAGGUUAUGUCGUACAGUUAAUAUGGUUUUAGUUUAGUAUCUUGAGCAAUUGUUUCAGAACUUCUUUCACUGUAAUUCUGCCUGUUUGUCCACCUAUUCCUGGGGUCCCCAAUAUGGCACCUGGACAUACCAUGAUGCCCUCAGAAACUCCCUUAGGUGCCUGCCAGUGACUUUUGACCCUCCCAAUUUUAUUUUUGUCUUUAAAAAAAAAGAGAUUGUGGUUUUUGCCUGUUUGAUGGGACAUUUCCUGGUUUUUUGGGGGUGGUCUCUGGGUUUUUGGUUUUGUUUUAGGGGCUAUUUGCCUGUUUAUUUUGGGGUGGGGUGGGGAGAUUCUGAUCAUUACCAGUUUUUCUUCUUUGAAAUUGUGUUUUGUGGUGUUCCCAACAAUUUCUUAAAUUUCCAAAUACGCUCCUGAGCCCCAAAAGUUGGACUUCCAAUCUCAUCUCCUUAUCUUAAACCACCAGGCUCAAUUUGACAACACUGCUGGCAUCCAAAAUCCAGAGCAAAAAUUCUUAAAAUGUUUCUGCACUCAGAGGUACAAUUUGUAUAAAAAUGCCAUCAUAAAAGCAUAAACAUAUUUUAAAACUAAAGAAAUGAGGGUUGUUGUACAGCCUGAAUUCCCCAGACAUGUCCAGGAUUUAAUUGGCAAAAAUAGCGUCCUGCAAAAUGUUCAGGAUUUUGAGGUUGACAACAGCUUUGUUUUUCCGGAAUUUUACUUCUAGAAAUAUGGCAGCCCUAAUAAAAUAUUAACCAUUGGAUGUUGGAUAAAGAAAGUCUGGCAAGUGGCUAACUGAUCAGGUUAAGGGUUGGGAAACAAUUAAGAUCCAUAUCUGAGGAAGCAUAGCUGCUUUCCGUUCUUUAGUUUUGGGGGAAUUAGAUAUAAGAUUAAGAUCAACUGCUUCUCUGUUAUAGGAUAUAGGUGUUGGCCUGGAAGGAUAUUACUAAUGUUUAUUACAUUUUUGCAUGUUUAUUUGAAUUCAUCUGGACUUUAUAUAAAACAUGAAUAUGUUUAGGUUAUUUUUAUAUUUUCAUACAAUGAAUCACACAUUUAUAUAUUGAUCAAAUUUAUUUUUUUAAAAAACCAGCAGAAGUAUUAACACCAUCGAAAUAAUUUUUAACAUGACAUCCUCUUCUUGUGUUUGAUAAACCACCACCAUUUAUGGUUUUGAAUGGGUGAGGCAUCUGCUGUUCCCAGUGCCUUUUUGUCCAACUCAUCUUUUUCUCUUGGCUUUUUAAGAGAGCCUGUGAUUGUUCAUUAAUGAGAUACUUUAGUCCAUUCAAGCAGACGAGCUCCCAGGCCUCUCCUUGCCUCUGACAUUAGUCAUCCAUUCAACAAUCCUUUCUUUCCCAGUCAAAUAGCACUGAUUGUAAGUGCAGAAUCUUUUUAAAAGGGAAAGGUGAGCUUCCUUCACUUCACUGAGGUUUAUCCUUCGAGAGAUUGCAGAAAACUCUUUGCCACUUCUAAAUGCCAAAAAAAGGCUAUUGUGUGCCAGACUCGCACACAAUUCAUUUCAGUCCAUUCAGAAUUCCUUGAGAGCAUAAAUUUGCUAAAGUUGCUCAUUGAUAACUUUCUUCAGACUCUUUUUUCCCCACCUAUCCAUUCAUCCUUUGUUCCGCUGCUUUUCCUACCCAGCUGAAAAUGACCAGAUCAUUACUCAUUCUUCUCUUUCUCGUUGGCAUGUGAUUCUGUCUCAGGGAGGAAAAUAUCUUAUUUUAUUGCUUUGGAGUAGGAUCUGCAGUAUCCCACCCACAAAUGGAGGCUCUGCUUUUCUUCCCAGAUUCAUAAACCUGAAGUGUGAGGUUUCAAGCGGAGCACAAAUUGAGAAGAACAGGUUGAUCCAUGCAAGUGAUGAGCUUUGGAAAGAGGCAGCUGAUGAAGGUGAGAUCCAGCAGGGUAGCAAGUGGGGAAGAAGGAAAACCCACACAAUACCAAUAUUCUGGUACCAUACAAGCGCAGAUCCAGCUAUUUGCACUCGGUCGUAACAGCUUUUAGGAGCGACAACAAGAGC
rnacentral:lncRNA from 1 species